ensembl:snoRNA
UCUGCUUAAAAAAAAAUCCUGCUAGUGACCCACUGAGCCAUCAAGAAGGGGCAGAGUGAAAACACUGCUUUUGGGUGAAGUGACAUGUGCUGUCUGCUUCAAUCGGUAUUGUGACAAGA